rnacentral:lncRNA from 1 species
UACAGGUGGAAGAUGCAACCAAAGCUCUUGAAGCAACCAAUGGAACAACCCUAGAAAAAAAUGGCCAAGUCCUACGUGUAGCAUAUGCAAAAAGUAUUCAUGGACCUGGAUCUGGGACUCCACAAUCGAGCAGUCUUGCAGCAGCUGCUAUUGAGGCCGCAACAUUUGCUCAACAGGUCUUAGCCAUCAGCAUUUGUUAUAUAAUUUAAUUUUUUAAUGUCUUAUACAUGUCUGGUUCACUUUUCCACUUUGUGGGUCAUGAACUGUGCACUCAAUAAUGCGUAGGUUUCACAGUUUUGAAAAUGAUCAAAUUCUCACUUUUGAGCUGCAACAAAUUGUGCCAGUCAUGAUGGCCUUGUCAUAGUUGACAUUAUUCUUUGCAAAAUUUUCUGUAGUCUGUUGGAUUUCUGUGCAUGUAUACUCCUAAAAAUGGAUUUUUUUUAAUUCGUAUCAAUAUCUUAAAAAACUUAGAUUUCUUGUAGAAAUGCCUGAACUAUCACUGAUAUUUCCUGAGGGCUCUUUGACAGUGAUUUUUCUUUGGAUAACUAUAAUUAGACAUGAACUACAACCUUUUGCCAAACAUCCAAAUGGUUUAAGAAAUUUUAUGAAUGCCCUCUCAAAUUAAAGAUUUUGCAGAAGUCCACUUCAGAGAAUAUAAAUUUUAUUAUAAAAAAACCCAUUAAAAAUCUUAAUGAUGCCUUUUGAAGUAAAUGCCUUAAGAAAGUCAAAUGGUAGGGACAUGGUUAAUUUAAGGUAUUAUAGCGUCUGACCUUCUAACAUGACUUUUGUUUAACUGUAAUGCAUUUAACAUCAAACCAUGGGGACAUUUGUGCAAGGAAUUUAUUUUCUGGAGAUACUGUAGAGGUGCAAUUGUGCAAUUUUAAGUCAAGGCUAUAUUUUCAAACUACCAGAGCAUGCUCUUGAUUUGCAUGUCUCUGUAGUUCUCAUCUUGGUUUAGAUUAGGGUGUGAAGCCAAUAUGCCGUUAUUGUAUGUUGAAAUUGUUUUUACCACUAAACCUUUGCAUGAAUGGAUGUAGCCAAGGUAGCAUGUUGGACCUCUAUGGACUUUGGAUGCCAUAUGAUUUACUGACAUGUACUUGUCAAGAUCACCGAAUGAAAUUUUUUUUUAAUGAGUGGUUGUACCGAUUGGUACUUAGUUGCAUGGUCCAUUAUUGAUGCAUGAUCCAUUAUUGAUGCAUCAUCAGACCAGUAAAUAUCAGUCAGUAUUUACCAGUCCGACCAGUAUUUAAACCAUGGAGGCAAAUUCUGUAUGGACUUUGAACUGCCUUACCUGAGUAUGCUUCUCAGUUUAUUCUUUUUGAGAUGGCAGUUCAUGAUUCUCGUAUGGCCAAUAAAAUAUCUGCUGGAUGAUGGGAAGUUUCCAGUGUGUCCAAUUCUCAUUGUUUUGAUGUUCUUGCCAUAUAUCUUGAUUACUCCUUUAUUAUGGCCUUCAUAUUAGCAGAUUUAAUAGAAAGCACACCGGAAAUUUACCUGUUGAGAUGCAUGACAACAUCUCAAAUCACACUCUAAAGAAAUUAUCCCUUCUUAAUAGAACUCAAAUUUUCUUUAAAUCAAAUUGAACUGUAUAUUCAUCUAGCUGUUUGUCUUGUCUAAGUCUUUUGGUACAUAGAAUGAUAGAAGAUUUGCUGAUUGUCUCCCUGUUUCAUAAAAUCACUCUUUUGCUUUUACAUAUAUUAAAAGUCCCUAUAAAGUGGUCUCAGUGUCAUACUUUAUGAUUUGAUCUAGCUGUUUGUCUUGUCUAAUUCUUUUGGUACAUAGAAUGAUAGAAGAUUUGCUGAUUGUCUCCCUGUUUCAUAAAAUCACUCUUUGGCUUUUACAUAUAUUAAAAGUCCCUAUAAAGUGGUCUCAGUGUUAUACUUUAUGAGUUGAUUUUGUAAUGCUUCCUCACAUACUUUAUGGUAUACAAACUUUAAGAAAUACAACUUCUGCACAUGUGUACUGAGUAAAAUUUUCAUUAAUAUUGAUUUAAUUUACCUUUUCUAUUUGUGUCAAUCACUCACUGCUUCAUGGGUUAACAUCUUUAGCUACAUAUUGGUGAGCCAAAAUAGUAAUUAUUUAGACUCAAUUAUUGCAUCAAUUUGCAUAUUAUUUUUUUCUUUUCAUUGGUUGUCAAGGUACUACUCAAUUGUAAUGUCAACCAUAGACUACUAUAAUUGCUGCUAUAUCUAUUUGGCUUCUUUUAUUUAUUUUGUUCAGUAUGAUGCUGUUGGUUGGACGCCAAAGGAAUACAAUCCAGAUCAAAAACAAUCUACAACUGGGUUUGAGCAAAAUAGCAAGGCAGAAGUUCAGAGAGGUGGUUCUGCUCCACAAUCUGGGUUUGUAUGGGAUGAGAAAUCUGGCUAUUAUUAUGAUGCUGCCUCAGGGU